GAGAGACUGAGUGAAAGAUAACUAAUAUUUAAAGAGAGAGAAAUUGAAGCGAAAGUAGUAGCGAACCGUCUGCCAGGCUAUUCCAAGCAUUUACACCUCCAUCAGCAACCAACUUGGACAGACCAAAAUCUGCAACUUUAGCAUUCAGAUUCUCAUCCAGCAAUAUGUUAGUGGACUUGAUGUCUCUGUGUAUUAUGGGUGGAUGGGCAAGCUCAUGCAGAUAGUUCAAUCCCUUGGCAGAACCCAGCGCUAUUUGUAGCCUUCUUGCCCAGUCCAGUGUAAGUUCACCUGACAUUGAAAGAAAGGAUUUUAAGUCUUGAAAAAAUCCGAAAUAGAAACACAAAUCUAAAAUAUAUAUUUCUCUGGAACAGUUUCUCAUA